CUUUCAUUUAUAUAUUAUGCAUAAAUAUAUCAAAUCUGUUCCUUUUAAUGAAUUUUCCAGACUCCAAAUUUGAGAUAAUGUUUGUGGGUGAAUUUUGGUAGCAUGAUCUUUUUAGUGAGUCUGUAUUCUAUUUUUUAAAUCACUGGUUUCGAUUCACUGAAUUAUAUAUUGUUGGUCAUUGUGUCAGGAACCCAAGCCUGACUGUAAUUCCUUUGAUUAGAGAAUUUAAAAAGAGGGAGAAGUAGAUAGAAAAAGGGGGAAGAAUCAGCCUGAUUAAGAGGGAGAACUGAGAACUGAGAGAGAAAGGAGAAUUUUGACAGGGAGUAGGGAGAAAUAGAGAGAUCCAAGAGAAAGGGAGAAUUGCAGAGAAAAAGGAAGAUCUUUAAUUCACAAUAAUCAUAAUGAUUCUCACUAUGUGGUUAUAACUUUAUAUAUAAGCCAUCCACAAAUUUUAAGGGGCAGUUACCACUCCUCCACUAUCAAUAACUGCUCCUAAAUGACCCCAUCUCCUCCUAAAUCAAUCCAUAACCGGGAGUUACAGUAAUAACUUACUCGUCCUGGAAAAAUAAAUUAAACUGCUGUAAAAAUAAAUUAAUUAAUUGUCCUGGUUGUGACAUUCCCUCCCCCAUAAAAGAUUUCCUGUCUCCAAGAAAUCACAUCAACGGGCCACUGUUCUUCAUCUAAUCCCAGCUUCCACUAUCUGAUUUGGACCAUUCCUUCGCUUUUCUUUUUCCUUCCUCUUUUCUUUUUCCGUUCCUUCCUUCUCCUUCUUGACCUUUUCCUCUUUUCUUUGGCUCUAUCAAGUAUAACCCCAAAUAAAUCUUCUGGUGUAGAACCAUAAGUAUUCAGUGCAACAACCUGAUAAGGUGCGGAAUCCUUGACCUUCAUGCAAUAACCACACCAAUGAGUUUUAAUAGUAAGUAUUCCGACAACAACUAGCUCUUCUACCAUCUUCCGUUUCACAACAUUUUCGGACUCUAACAGUGCUUUAAAAGCAUCUGUUGCUUCUUGCUUGCUAACGUACACCAAAGGUUUUUCUUCAACAAAUUUCUCCUCCAAUAGUGUUGCAAUUACUUUUCCUAAUGAAUCAAUAUUUUUUUCCAAUUCAAAUUGUUCCUCGAUUUUCUUGUAAGUCAGAAAUCUGAGGAAGGACUCCCGCACCAGUUUCCUCACAGAUGAAUGAUUUUUUGGUCAGAAUUACCUGAUCCAAUGUAGGUACUUCAUUAGCUUCUUGCAUAUCAGAGGUCUUAGGUAGGAUUUUAGCUCCUGCUGGAAUCAAUUCUGCAGUAGAUUCAUAAUAAAGUUCCACUGGUAUAUUGGUAUGAAACUUCCUUGAAAUCAAAUCUAGUAAGUCAUCCAGCUUUUGGUUGAGGUUAGCGAAUUUCUUCUUGAAUCCAUUCUCCAUCACAGUUCAAAUUUGUCACAUUGUACUUUGGACAUUGACUGUAACUGCUUCCUAGAAACGAAAUGCUUUGAUACUAAUUUGUUAGGAACCCGAGCGUGACUGCAAUUCCUUUGAUGAGAGAAUUGAAAGAGGGGGAGAAAUAGAGAGAAAAAGGGGGAAGAAUCAGAUUGAUUAAGAGGGAGAACUGAGAAUUGAGAGAGAGGAGAAUUUAGACGAAGCAGGGAGAAAUAGAGAGAUAAGAGAGAAAGGGAGAAUUGCAGAGAUAAAAAGGAGAUCUUUAAUUCACAAUAAUCAUAAUGAUUCUUGACCAUGAGUCAUAGCUUUAUAUAUAAGCUAUCCACAGAUUUAAGGGGCAGUUACCACUUCACCACUAGCAAUAAAAAUGCUCCUAAAUGACUCCAUAACCUCCUACCUCAAUCCAUAAUCGAGAGUUACAGAAAUAACUAACUCCUCCUACAAAAAUAAAUUAAACUAUUGUAAAAAUAAAUUAAUUAAUUAACUGCCCUGGUCAUGACACAUUCUUAAAAGAUUCAAUAAUUUAAGUUGCAUUUGUGGGUUAUGGCUAUGUUUCUAGCAUGAGUUGCAAUUGAUGGCCAAAUAUACUAAGGUCUUGAUGAUCACUUGGUUUCACUAACUUAAUAUUUGGAAUUCACGCUAAUUUAAAAAUGUAAUCAUUUAUAGCUUCUUAUUAGAACUUUCCAUAAUUAAGAAUGUUUGAAUUCUUUACCCUUGGGAAUAAUGAGUAUUUUUUUCUGUAAGUGCGAAUAAUAUGAUUAGGAAUCUUGAGAAGGUGAAUUCAUUUGUAUUUGUAGGCUAUUUAGGAAUUGAACUAGGCUCAGAUUUAGAAGCUGAAGAUGGAUAUAGGGGCAAUGCAAUUUGUUUUGUUAGUGUUCUAGUCAAUGUGGUUGUUAAACUUGUACUUUUUCUUGUUGCUUCAUGCCUUUCUCGUAGAUUUUGAUGAGAUUAAAUCUAAGACUUUUUUACAUGUAGAGUUGUGAAGUAAAUCAUCUUUGGCAAUAUGUACUUUUUUAGUGUUUUAAUAUUUUGCAUGCCAAUGCCAUAAGACAGAGAGAGAAAAGGCACAUACAACAUAUUAUUAAUUGAUUCUGCAUUGUCUUCACAUAGCAUAUAUAGUUAAUAAGUAUUCAAAACAUUACAGAAGCUAUUAAGUAUUUGCUUAGAAAAGUUUUGAAUAUAUGGAGUUUCAACUUUGUCUCAAUAGAAUAGAUAGAAAAUGUAAUAUGCCAGUUGUAUUAAAAAACAUAUGAAAUCAAUGGAAGAGUACUAGAAUACGAUCAACUAACCAACAAAUAAUAGUAGCAUCAACUAUUUGGGUAUGGGCAUUGCCCCAUCUCCACACGGGCGAAGAGUACUAGAAUACAAAUGAAAAAACACUCUAUCGCCACAUUUAUGUUGGCAUAUUUCUUUAGCUCUCCUCUCAAAAUCACCCCUUAAAUAGUAUCGAUAGACUUUCUCCUUUGUAGCAACAAGCAAAGACUCCCCAUUGACUACCUUGAAGCCGGCUACAUCAUAGGACUUGAUGAUUCCUAUGUCUUGUGUACAAAUUUUCAAUACUCUAGUCCAAGAGCUUGAACAAUAAUCGCUUAAUGUCCAUAUAGUGAAAUCUCUUUCCGCUAGCUGAACCAAACAAAUAGAUUCUCCGUUUCCCCACUCGAAUAUACACAUUUGACAAUUUCGAUCAUUUAGACCUCUUGCAUCUUUUGGUAUUUGUAUAAAUCUUUGGGUACUCUUCUUGAAAUCAUAUGCUAAUAUAUACGGCCAAUAGAAAGGGCUAUCUAGAUCAAAAGAAGGAGAAAAACAAUUCAAUAAUAAGUGAACAUUACCAUUAUAGCAGACAACAGAUUGAGAGUAUAAUCUUCUAGGACCAAGACAUAUUUCACCAAUCUCUUCCCAAUUCCCUGUUGCUUGUAGUAAGUAGACUUUGCAUGUUGCAUUUGCUGACCAUUCUUCUGGCCUCUUUAUCAUCAUCAAUAGAAAAUCACAUGGAAACUCAGGUGCUUCCUUAAUGCUACAUUGGAAGACUAGGUUGAAGUAUAGGUCGAAAUUUAUUAAACUCAUGGGGACUUUAAUUCGUUUCCAACUUUGUGUUGUUGGGUUGCAAAUAAUCAGUUCAUUUCUCUUUUUAUACCUGCAACAUAGCAACCCAUUGCUUGAAACUAGCACCCGAGUGGUAGACUUUAAGAAUUUGAUAGAUUGAUUAGGCAACCCAGUUGAUGCUUCUUCACCAGGGUUCGCAUGAAAUUCCAAUUUGUGAUAGCCUCUAGGGGACCAUCUUGGUUGAAUGAAAAAGGCUGAGUCAUUUUUCAACCCCAUGUGUAUGUAUUGUUGCUUGACAAAUGACAUGUCUGAGGGAAAUUCAUUGCAUGGUUUGCAGGUUAACAUGAAUCUGAAAAUGGAUUUUGCAGGUAGCCAGGAGAAUAUUUUAAAAUUUCAAGAUUUGCAUCAAACUCCUGCAAUUCAAAGUAGAAUUGAAUUAUUAUCGAAGCCAUAAAAUAUUAUAAGAUUGAUAUUGUAAUACAUUUAAACUUAAAUUUAAAAGCCCUAAAGUAAUUACAAUAUAUUUUUAAGAAUCCUAGCCAAUUUUCUCUGCUCUUCCAUUUUGCUGGGAAAAGAGGUCUAUUAAUAAAAGAAAGAGUAGAUUGUACUCAAAACUCUUGCGGUUUGGUGUCAUACUUCCUGUAGUAUCUUGAGUAUGAAGAGGUUAAGAAUGUUGUAAUGUGGAGACUCAUCUUGAGAUGUGAUUUUGGCUUUUUUUAAGUGUUUAUAGCCCCGCUCUGUAUUUGCAUUGAUAUAAAUACAAUUGGAUGACAACAAAGAAACAAAUAUGAAUAUUAAAAUUGUAAAUAUAAAGUAUUUAAAGAGUAACACUAAAUAUACAUACAUACACACGAAUUGUUGCUGACAAUUUUGUUUCUUUUGACUGCUCGAGCCAUAAUGAUCUUUCUGAGUACCCUUUUCAAGCUUUCUCUCAUCCAUCAUAUCAACGGAGCUUUCUACUUAUCAACAAUGGAUAUGUUAAUUUGAAGGAUCUCAUUGCCAAUGUAUAAAUGUUUGGCUUGAAAUUCCAUCCCAUUCUUGAUUGGUUUAUGCUUUAAAAGAUAUUCUUAAUUAGUUUAGCUGUAGUUCUAUCAUGGAACACCAAUUUUGGAACGAAACAAUUGUGGGUAAUAUAUUACUCAUAUCCACGGGCCAUGUAAGGGUAUUUUUAAUUGAUUGACAUAUAUUUUGAAAAAUUAAUUAAUUAUUUACACACUAAUCUAAUAAAAAGUUUUGAAAAUUUUAAUUAGAUAUUUAAUUUAUCAAUAAAAUCAAUAAAAUUAGAGUUUUAAUAGGAAAUGCCAUGUUUAUACUAGGAAUUUAAAAAGUGAAAGAUUUUGGAUAAAUUAACUAAAAUAAAAUUUUAUUUUUUUAACAUACUUGUAAUGAAAAAAUCUAGCAAAUUCUAUCACAUAAUUUGAAAUAAACCUAACACACUAAUAUGAUAAUUAGUUCUAUAAACAUAAAUAUUUGUGAGAAUGAUAUAACAAUUAUAAUUUAUCAAUAAAUUGAAUGAUCACAAAUAUUUUCUUUUGCAGUUUUUAUUUUGGGUGUAAAUAAAAAUAAAAUAAAAAUUUUGAAGAUGAAGGAGGGGAAAAUAACUAUUCUAUAGGCAUAAAUAAAAAAGCUGUAAUUUUUUUAAUCAUCAAAAACAGAAAAAUUAUAAUGUCGGAUUAGCCCAGAUAUUAUUGAUUUAAGAGGGUAUAAGAAUUGAAAAAAUUGUAACCAAACCAUUGUUCUAACUUCAAAUGACCAUUUUCUUUGUAUUCUCAUAUUGUCUAUUUUUUUAUUCUCAUACUCUAUUAAUGGGUGAUUACUCUAUUCUAUUGAUUUUAUUGUUUUAAAAAAUAAAAUCUAUUCUACACCCAACACAAUUAGAUUGUUAAUUUUGUAGGUGCAUCCAUUGCAACUUUGAAUUAAAAUAAGAAACCUUAAAAACAUUUUGACAAACUCCUUUUCUCAUAUUUGUCUUGAGGAAAUUUUUUUCCCUACUAUAAUAAAAUACGAAAAGAGAAAACUCGAUUGAAGGGCAUUAAGUAAAUCAAUGAAAGUAUGUAUGAAAGUACCAAUGAAUUAAUCGUAGGUUCUCAACUUUUUUCUUGGGAAUCUUUUUUCAAAACGGGGUCAUUAAGAUUGGUUGGGCUUGCUUAGAUUGGCUUCCUGACUCUCAAGUUGAUUUGAUUUGGAAUUGAAACUAGAAACUAGGACAGGUGCAUGAUAUCUAGUGAUUGUUCGACAAUAUAUAAGAAUGCACAAUAUUAGAGUGUUUUCUAGAUAUUACCUUCAAAGGGAGAAGAGCCCCCCUUUUUUAUGGAUGUCAGUUUGCUCGAGUCUUGUGCCCCCCAUGUGUUUGAGUGUACAUGGCAAGUGCGGAUAUGGGGGAUCAAGGAUGGAGAGUGGGGAUUCAAUGCAAUCGUGCGUUGCGAGGCUCUAUAUGGUAGGUUUGAAUGUGGCAGGUUUGUGUAUGGUAGGUAUGGAUAUGGCAAGUUUGUAUGUGGUAGCUUUGAAUAUGGCUAGAAGUAUUGAAUGUGGUUAAUCACUAUAGGAUAUGUUUACGCAUGAUAUGCACACAAUCAACAAAGAGAGAGCUUACUUAGUUGAGUGCCACUAGGCCACGUGGGUGGAUCUCCUUAGUUUUGAGUUGCACUAUGCUUGGUACGCUAGAGACUAUCGCAAACUGAAAUUUCUUGUGAAUCCUAGUGAAGAAGCAUUAUCUAGGUUGCCUAAUCAGUCUCUCAAAUUCUUAAAAUCUACCACUUGGGUGCUAGCUUUAAGCAAGGGGGUGCUAUGUUGCAGGAAUACUAGGAGAAAUGAAAUUAUUUGUAACCUAACAACUCAAAGUUUGAAAUCUAUUAAAGUCCUGAUGAGUUUAAUAAAUUUUGACCUAUGCUUCAACUUAGCCUUCCACGUUGAGGAACCAUCUGAGUUUGCAUUUGAUUUCCACUAGAUGAUAAAGUGACCACAAGAAUGGUCAGAGAAUGUAACAUGCAAAGUUUACUUAUUUGAAGUAGUAAGGAAUUGGGAAGAGAUUGGGGAAGUAUGUCAUGGUUCUAGAAGACGUACUCUCAAUCAAUUGUUUUCCAUAGCGGUAAUGUUAACUUGUUAUUGAUGUGCUUUUGUCUUUCUAUUGAAAUGAGUAAGCUUUUAUAUUGGUUGCAUAUAUUGGCAUAUGAUUUCAAGAAAGGUGUCCAAAAAUUUAUACAAAUACUAGAGGGUGUAAGAGGAGGUCUAGAUGAUCUAACUUGUUAGAUGGGUAUAUUCAAGUGGGGAAAAAGAAAAUCUAUUUGAUUGGUUCAACUAGUGGAAUGAGUUUUCAUUAUAUGGACAUUAAGCGAUUAUAAUUCAAGCUCUUGGAAUAGAGUAUUGGAAAUUUGAACAUAGGCAUUGCUAUCAUCGCAUCCUAUGAUGUAGUCAACUUCAAGGUAGUCAAUUAGGAGUCUUUGCUUGUUGCUAUAGCAAAGAAAGUCUAUUUAUACUAUUUAUGGGGUGAUUUUGAUAGGAAAGCUAAAGAAAUAUACCAACAUAAAUGUGACAGUUGAGUGUUUUUUUCAUUUAUAUUCUAGUAUUUUUCGCCUGUGUGGUGAUGGGGCAAUACUCGUAACUAAAUAGUUGUUGGUACUAUUAUUUAUUAAUUGGUUGUUUUUGUCUAAAAAUUGACUAUAUAGACUUUUCAAUUCAAAUGUUUCAUAUGUUCCUCACUCACAAUGGAUGCAAUACUAUUGGCACUAUUAGAUUUUCUAUUUGUUCUAUUGAGACAGAAGUGGAAACAUAUAUUUAAACUUUCCUAAACAAAUAGUUAAUAGCUUUUGAAAUAUUUUGAAUGCUUUAUGUUAACUAGAUGUGCUAUGUGAAGAUGUUGCAAAAUCUAUUAAUAUCAUGUGGUAUGCACCUUUUCUUUCUAUGUCUUGUGGCAUUCACAGGCAAAAUAUUAGAAAACUUGUACAAGAACUGAAUUUGUAAUACGAAAGAUGGUUUUAUUCAUUACUCUAUAUGUUUGUGACUAUGUGGGGUCAUUUUGAUUGGGGAUAGAGUGGCAUUGUUGAUAAAAUUGAAAUGUUAUUAGAUGAAGUUAAAAGAUAUCAACUAUAAUGGUUAGUAUGGCCUCGACUUUGAAAGUACAAUUACUUAUUUGACACUUUUUAAAAGUACAAUUGUUUAUUUGAAAUUUCAGGCGCUUAUUUGACCAAUCUUAGGGGACAGUGACCAAAUUAGCCUUGAGGCCAAACUAUGGCUUAUUUGGCACUCCAUCCAAAAUUUUGAGAAGACAACAAAAACAAAAGGCUCCAACAAGAGAGAGAUAGAGAGAUGGGGAUAUGUUAGCCAUUUUCAAAAAAUUUAACAAGGUUAAGUGUAACUGAAUUUUUAAAAUUGAGUGAAAUUGUUGUCAUUUUCAGAACCUCAAAGAUAUUGUCUACUUUUCUUCUCUACUUGGGAGUGUGUCAAUCCUUCCCUCGAAAUAAGCUCUUUUGUAUAAACAUUUUAAUAAGGGUAAAUUGCAUAAACAUCUCAUGUGAUUUGGACUUAUAUAUGUAGACACUCUCUAUACUUUAAAAUUGGGCCUAAAAGUCCAUGUAUUUUCAAUUUUUUGUGUAACACAUCUCUUCCCUUAAUUUUAAUUGUUCAUGCCAUCUAUUAGAAGCCAAAUCAACGUAAUUUUGUGAUGCCAACAUUAAUUAAGUUAUAUAUAUAGACUGUAUAUAUAACUAUGAACCUAAUCUAAAUAUAAAUUAUAAAUUUGUAAGAUUUUUACAAAUAUAUAUGUAUAAAUAAAUAGUAUAGCUAUGGUGGCUGGCCACGGUGAUGGACCCCACUGAUUGUAGAUGAGGUUCUAGCAAUCAUUUGGGGUUGCAACGACCAUGGUUAGGGUUGCGAUAAAGAGAAAAUAGACAAGAUUGAGAAAAUGAGAGAAAGUGGAUAACGGGGACGGAACCCUCUUGUCCUGACAUGAUCAUUGGAGAAGUUGAGGGGACAGAGAAUCUUAGGAAGAGAUGAAGGAGAGGAAUGGGCAUCUUGGACAUUUCAUAAAAUCUAACAGUUGUUUUUAACUGCAGGGAGAAAGUGACGUGUGGUUUGUAAUAUUGAGGGAGGUCUUUGUCAUUUUUGAAAAUUCAAGGGGUUCUAUGUUUUUUUGCCAAACCUCAAGGGUGCUUUGUGUAAUUUCCCUAACUAUAAAUGGCAAGGUAAUCCUGCCGUUUGCAAAGUUUUGAUUCUUAAAAGUUGUUUUAAAGAAUUGCGAGCAGUGAUGGAAAGUCUGUGGAGGAGUUUGGUGGCUGAUUUGCAGAUGGGGGCUUGGAACUGACUUGUGACUAGUCGAGGAUGUUGUCUUCCAACUGUUCGAUGAAAUGCUUCUCACUUCAAUUAAUUUUCUUCUCCGGGAUGGUUGAACUACUAGAGUAUUGGUAAAAAGAACUGGUUCUAUUGUUUGCUCUCUCAUUGCAGCCUUCUUCCUGUUUUCAGGAAUUUUUGGGCUUUCUUCUUGGAAUCAUAUGCCAGUAUAUAUGGCCAGCAGAAAGGGCUAUCGCUUGAUAUAUAAGGAAACCAAUCUGAUAUUAGUUGAUACUUAUCAUUAUGGUAAAUAGCAGACUGAAAGUCGAAGUAUCUAGCACCAAGAUCUAUCUUUGCAAUCUCUUGCCAAAUCAUUGCUUGGGUUAAGUAGGCUUUGCAUUUUGCAUCAUUGUUUGACCACUGUGUAGUCUGCUCUAUCAUCAUCAACUCAAAAUUUUGCGAAACUGAUAAGAUGGUUUGUCGAUAUUGCAGUGGAAGAUGAAGGUGAAGUGCCUGUCUAAAUCUCUUAGAUUUUCUGGGAGUUCAAUAGGUAUGCACAUUUGAGUUGCGGGGUUGCAAACAAGUAGUUAAUCUUUUCUUUGUGUUUCUGCAGCAUAGCAGCCUGUUGCUCAAAGCUAGCACCCGGAUGGUAGUUCUUAAGUAUCCGAGUGACUGAUUGGGCAAACCACAUGAUGCUUCUUCACCAACACAAUGAAAUUCCAGUCUGUCAGUAUCUGCUUUUGCUAUACUGGUAUGGUUGAAUGAAGAAGGCCGAGUUGCUUUUUGACCCCAUGUUUUUGUAUUGUUGCUUGAUGAAGAACAUCUCUGACAAAAAUUCCUUGCAUGCCUAAAGAUGGAUUUUGCGGGCAGCCAGGAGAAUAUUUUGAAAAUUUCUCCGUUGAACCCCAUUCUAGUCUGCAAGAUGGAAGCAAAAUGUAGUUCACAAGCUUGAAACUGUAACACAAAUGUGAUUGAGAAGAUUUGGUGUCAAUACUUCAUCUGGUAACUUUGAGUUUGAAGGGGUUAUGGAUUUGCAAUACGGAGACUAGACUAAUGUACCGAAAGUUGAAAUAGAUUUAUGUUGUUUUUGGGUUUUGUAAUCAAAGUGUUUCUGGCUACUGAAUACAAAUAGAGAUAGCAACAAAAACUGGUCGAUGUUAAUUAAAAUUGUAAAUAUUAAUGUAUCUAGGAAGAAAUCAAAUAUAUGCUGACCAGUUAUUGGCAAUUUUGUUUCUCUGGACUUUAUGAACCAUGAAGAUGAUGAUGGUGAUGAUUCCGAAUUCCUUU